rnacentral:lncRNA from 1 species
AAUCUGCCAAGGGAGAAAACAGAAAAGAUUCAGGACGGGCUGCAGCUCUGUUGCGCCGGCAGGAAGCGCCUUCCCUGCCAGUCCUCCUGAUAAAGUGAGAGGUGCGGAGGACCAGCCCUUUUCAUUCCCCUGAAGGCAGGGAGAUCUUCCUAACCCAGAAUCCAAAAUGCUGCAGUUCCAGAAGGGCCUGCCUGUGGUUCCAGGCAAACACCAGGCAGCUCCAGAGCACAGGGUGGGUCUGGCAGGCAGCUGGGAGCAUGUUAUGGACUCGGGCUGGAAGGGGAAUGAGUUUCCUUUCCCUACAGCAGCUGUCCCAGUGCCCUGCUGCUUGCAAAUGUCCUGAGUGACCAGUCUGGGCUCCCUGUCCAGUGCACCCCGACAUGUUCCCUGGGAUGAAUUCCCAGCGACUCCCUCUGCUCCUGUCACAUGCUGUUUUGAGGAACCAUCCCUGGCUCCCUGUUGAUGAUUCCUGAUGUACGGGCUGCCCAAGCACAACCCCUUCAGGCGUGGGAAGCCGACUUCCUUCCCGGCGGGUGGAAACAGCCAGUGAGCAGAGUGUUUUGGGGGGUCCUCUUGUCUGUUCCUACAGGGCAUUCACUGGUGACCCACACUGACACUGCUUUUUGGAGGACAAGGCAGAGUUGACCAUCCCAGUCUUGCCUGGAGGUCAUAGGACCGUUGUCACUGCAGCCUCAGGUCUGAUGCAUAAUCCCAUGACCCUCCAGAUCUGAGCCAUGACCCACUCUGGGCCCUGCCGGCGGGGAGGCGGUGGGCCCAUGGGGGCUGCCUCACUGGCCUCCCUCGUCCUCUAUUCCGGGUUGGGGUUGGCUCUCAGCACACUGGGGAAAAGGGUGGGGUCGAUGACUUGUCCCUGGCUCCCUCCCCUUGCCCCAUGCCUGCCAUAACCGCAGCUUCAGAGAAAGGUGCCACACUCGCUUGGCUGACAAUGUCGGGGAGUCCCCUGGGCUCCACACCAGGGCGUGUGCCCUUGGAAAACCACGGUGACUGAAUCAUGUCCCUUUCAGCCAAAACUGGAAGACAGCCCAGCUCCCUGCCUUCAGGUGACCAGAUCUCUAAGUCACAUUACUGGCCCCAGGGUCAAGUCCAGGCUCCCCAGCUGGGGUACCUCCCAGGCUGAGUACAGGCCUUGCUCCCUCCUUCCUCCCUGCACGUGCUCUGAGCCUCCAGCCCGACGCCUGGGAUGCCGGUGCCCCUUGGGCCCCAGACCCUACUACUCUUGAGUGACAGGCCUCUUCCUAGGGGUUUCUGUGCAUCCGUCACAUCACCCACGUUAGAGUCCCUUCCUGUGAGGACAGAAGGGCCCUGAAGACAGAGCCGGCCCCUGGUGAGCUCUGCUUUCCCGCACUGACCCCUCCUGGGCUGCAGCUCCCCACCUGGCAGCUGCCGCCCCCCAUGGCCCUGGUCGAGGUCACCUGUCGUUCCCGUCCCCACCACUCACCAAGCGCUCCCAGGUUCUCCGUCUGGAAGACCCUCUGCAGCGGGGGGAUGUAAAUGACCGCCAGCUGCCCCAGGAUGGACCCCAGGACGGAGUAGAGGAACAUGUGGUUCCUGAGAAAGCCGAUCUCAAAUAUCAGCUUGGUCUGCAGGGAGAAGGUCACACGGGGGAUUGUGUGCUGUCCACACCCCAGGUACAGGCAGGGGAGCUCUGACUGCCCACGCUGAGCCAGAGCCGCUCAAUGCUGCGGGCAGGGUCGGGGCGCUGCUGUCGAGAACACACAGCAGCUCUGCAGCGAGGAGGGUCAGCCCGGGUCUCACCUGAGAGCGGCAGGUCAAGGCGUUGAAGAGAUCGAAAAACACAAAACAAGUGAACGUCAUCGUCGUGGUGCGGGGAGUGCUUGCUCUGUCUUCAGGCAUCUGGAAGAUGUGAGCUGUGGCAGGAGGGCAGGGACUGCAGUCCCCAGCGUCUGCACCGCACCAGGGCUUGGAGAACAGGCCGGGGUGACCCUCGCUCACCUCCUUCCAGAAGAUAAAGAGGGUCCCGCUGAUGAUGAUGGCCGCGGACAUGAGGAUCUUCAGGAUGAGGGCUCUGCUGAGGAUGGUGUCCCGCACACUCCGUGGUGGCUGCCUGAAGGCGUCUUUGUCAACGGGCUCUACCCCCAAGCUGCUCCGAACAAGACACAGACACUUUGAAAUGAACCAGGAAUGAAAUAAAGGACCCUUGAAACAGCUGUGCCUGAGCCUCCCAGGCCAAGUUGGCACAGGGGGCAGGGCCAGGCAUUUGCUGAACGCCCCCAGGCAUCGCACCUGCCCUCCUCGGCACCUUCCAGAAGCCCCAGAGCCUGGGUCCAUGGGCAGCUGUGCCCCUCCAUCUGUCCCGCAGACAGUGAAGGAAGACCACCCCGUAAGGCCAACCACACACAGUUCCAUACACCCAGAUGAUCUCCAUCACCCCGAGGGGACCCCCCCCAACGUUGCGCCUGGAGAAACAGGCUCCAGGCUCCGCCCUCCGCAGAGCCCCUCAUCAGCUGAGAGAGACCAGCCUCCAGCCAACUCCACACAGCAGGGUUGAGGCUAGACCCGCAGCAGGCGGUAUGGUGGGAGUGGCCGGGUGAGGCCCUGCCGCUCAGACACAGCUGAGGCCAGCUUCCUGGUCCCACUUCUGCUCCCAGGGAGGGCUGGCAGGAGAGGUAACCCUCACACUUGGCUUUGGGGACACAAAUGAGGACUCUCUUUCCCUUGGCAGCUAUCACUGGUGAUAACAGCAGCACUGAGCUCCAGCGGAAGCACUGGCUCUGUGCUCAUACGGUUACGCACACGUGGCCAGAUGGGUCCCCUGACUCCAAAGCGCAUUCCUUCCCCCACACCACUUGGCCAGCUUGUUGAAGGGGAUAUUAAGUGGCGGAGCGGGUGGACUCCUGAGCACCUACUGAGUGGCAAGCCCUUUAUCUCUAGACAUCAGGGAUGAAACACAAACUCCGCCUCCAUGAAACUGAUGUUCUAAAGGGGAGACAGAUCACAAUCAGAUCCAUAAGGAAAAGUGUGUCUGUGUGUAUCUUCCUCUCUAGGGAAAAAUACAGCAGGGUGAGGGGAUUGAGUGGGAGUGCAAUCAGGGAAGACUUCCUGAAGGCAGUGACUGGUGACUGGAAUGAAGCAUGAGAAUGAGCCAUGCAGGUUGCCCAGAGAGAGCAUCCAGGCAGAGGGAGCAGAAAGUUCCAUCCUCACCCAGCUCUGCCGGCCCAGGUACUUUCUCCUCUGCCUUCUACUCCCAGUCUCACUGCAGUGCAACACACUUCAGUUUUCUGGGAACUCCUGAUGGAAAGUGGCUGUAUUUGUUCAUCCCUAUAGCCUUGGGGCACAGCCAGCAGCCCCUGGAGGAAGCCCCGCAGGUGGGUAAAGAGACACAGGGCUCCCAGCCGGCCCUGCCUCACCUCUGCGCCGGUGGCCCAUCCAUGAUGAUGUUGAUCCAUAGGAUCUGCAUGGCGUUGAGGGGGCUGGGCAGGUUGAACACGGUGGACAGAGUGAUGAGACUCAGGGCGGAGAUGCUCCUGCGGGGCA